rnacentral:tRNA from 1 species
GCGCCCGUAGCUCAGCUGGAUAGAGCGUUGCCCUCCGAAGGCAGAGGUCAGAGGUUCGAAUCCUCUCGGGCGCACCA